AUUGAACGCUGGCGGCAGGCUUAACACAUGCAAGUCGAGCGGGGAUUGGGUGCUUGCACCUAAUCUUAGCGGCGGACGGGUGAGUAAUGCUUAGGAAUCUGCCUAUUAGUGGGGGACAACAUUCCGAAAGGAAUGCUAAUACCGCAUACGCCCUACGGGGGAAAGCAGGGGAUCUUCGGACCUUGCGCUAAUAGAUGAGCCUAAGUCAGAUUAGCUAGUUGGUGGGGUAAAGGCCUACCAAGGCGACGAUCUGUAGCGGGUCUGAGAGGAUGAUCCGCCACACUGGGACUGAGACACGGCCCAGACUCCUACGGGAGGCAGCAGUGGGGAAUAUUGGACAAUGGGCGAAAGCCUGAUCCAGCCAUGCCGCGUGUGUGAAGAAGGCCUUUUGGUUGUAAAGCACUUUAAGCGAGGAGGAGGCUACUUAGAUUAAUACUCUAGGAUAGUGGACGUUACUCGCAGAAUAAGCACCGGCUAACUCUGUGCCAGCAGCCGCGGUAAUACAGAGGGUGCGAGCGUUAAUCGGAUUUACUGGGCGUAAAGCGUGCGUAGGCGGCUUCUUAAGUCGGAUGUGAAAUCCCUGAGCUUAACUUAGGAAUUGCAUUCGAUACUGGGAAGCUAGAGUAUGGGAGAGGAUGGUAGAAUUCCAGGUGUAGCGGUGAAAUGCGUAGAGAUCUGGAGGAAUACCGAUGGCGAAGGCAGCCAUCUGGCCUAAUACUGACGCUGAGGUACGAAAGCAUGGGGAGCAAACAGGAUUAGAUACCCUGGUAGUCCAUGCCGUAAACGAUGUCUACUAGCCGUUGGGGCCUUUGAGGCUUUAGUGGCGCAGCUAACGCGAUAAGUAGACCGCCUGGGGAGUACGGUCGCAAGACUAAAACUCAAAUGAAUUGACGGGGGCCCGCACAAGCGGUGGAGCAUGUGGUUUAAUUCGAUGCAACGCGAAGAACCUUACCUGGUCUUGACAUAGUAAGAACUUUCCAGAGAUGGAUUGGUGC
rnacentral:rRNA from 1 species